rnacentral:snRNA from 1 species
GGAUGUGAGGGUGAUCUGGCUGCGACAUCUGUCACCCCAUUGAUCACUAGGGUUGAUUCGGCUGAUCUGGCUGGCUAGGCGGGUGUCCCCCUCCUCCCUCACCGAUCCAUGUGCGUCCCUCCCGAAGAAUGAAAAUAUGCCUAAAUAGGUUUGAGACGAACGUGUCAUUCAUCAGU